GCAGUCGACGGCAGCAUGAUCUAGCUUGCUAGAUUGAUGGCGAGUGGCGAACGGGUGAGUAAUACAUCGGAACGUGCCCUGUAGUGGGGGAUAACUAGUCGAAAGAUUAGCUAAUACCGCAUACGACCUGAGGGUGAAAGUGGGGGACCGCAAGGCCUCAUGCUAUAGGAGCGGCCGAUGUCUGAUUAGCUAGUUGGUGAGGUAAAGGCUCACCAAGGCGACGAUCAGUAGCUGGUCUGAGAGGACGAUCAGCCACACUGGGACUGAGACACGGCCCAGACUCCUACGGGAGGCAGCAGUGGGGAAUUUUGGACAAUGGGGGCAACCCUGAUCCAGCAAUGCCGCGUGUGUGAAGAAGGCCUUCGGGUUGUAAAGCACUUUUGUCCGGAAAGAAAUCGCACUUACUAAUAUUAGGUGUGGAUGACGGUACCGGAAGAAUAAGGACCGGCUAACUACGUGCCAGCAGCCGCGGUAAUACGUAGGGUCCAAGCGUUAAUCGGAAUUACUGGGCGUAAAGCGUGCGCAGGCGGUUGUGCAAGACCGAUGUGAAAUCCCCGGGCUUAACCUGGGAAUUGCAUUGGUGACUGCACGGCUAGAGUGUGUCAGAGGGGGGUAGAAUCCCACGUGUAGCAGUGAAAUGCGUAGAGAUGUGGAGGAAUACCGAUGGCGAAGGCAGCCCCCUGGGAUAACACUGACGCUCAUGCACGAAAGCGUGGGGAGCAAACAGGAUUAGAUACCCUGGUAGUCCACGCCCUAAACGAUGUCAACUAGUUGUUGGGGAUUCAUUUCCUUAGUAACGUAGCUAACGCGUGAAGUUGACCGCCUGGGGAGUACGGUCGCAAGAUUAAAACUCAAAGGAAUUGACGGGGACCCGCACAAGCGGUGGAUGAUGUGGAUUAAUUCGAUGCAACGCGAAAAACCUUACCUACCCUUGACAUGCCACUAACGAAGCAGAGAUGCAUUAGGUGCUCGAAAGAGAAAGUGGACACAGGUGCUGCAUGGCUGUCGUCAGCUCGUGUCGUGAGAUGUUGAGUUAAGUCCCGCAACGAGCGCAACCCUUGUCUCUAGUUGCUACGAAAGGGCACUCUAGAGAGACUGCCGGUGACAAACCGGAGGAAGGUGGGGAUGACGUCAAGUCCUCAUGGCCCUUAUGGGUAGGGCUUCACACGUCAUACAAUGGUGCAUACAGAGGGUUGCCAAGCCGCGAGGUGGAGCUAAUCCCAGAAAAUGCAUCGUAGUCCGGAUCGUAGUCUGCAACUCGACUACGUGAAGCUGGAAUCGCUAGUAAUCGCGGAUCAGC
rnacentral:rRNA from 1 species